CUUGAUAAUCAUAGAGUCGUUGAACCACCUGAUCCCAUCCCGAACUCAGAAGUGAAAAGUGACAUCGCCGAUGGUAGUGUGGGAGGUCCCAUGUGAGAGUAGGUCGUUAUCAAGA
rfam:Marinomonas sp. S3726 contig0003, whole genome shotgun sequence.